GUGCUCACUCCUGCAGCACAUAUACUAAAAUUGGAAUCAUACAGAGAAGAUUAGCAUGGCCCCUGUGCAAGGAUGACAUGCAAAUUUGUGAAGCGUUCUAUAUUUUU
rnacentral:snRNA from 1 species